GUGUUAUAUGAAAGGAGAGAAGGUUAGCACUCCCCUUGACAAGGACGGAAUGGCCUCUGGGCCUAAACACAUAUACGGUUAAGGCACUGCCGUCUACUCUGCGGCAACUUAACCAAAUUUUUCC
rfam:Stegodyphus mimosarum contig34873, whole genome shotgun sequence.